rnacentral:rRNA from 1 species
UACGUAGGUGGCAAGCGUUGUCCGGAAUUACUGGGCGUAAAGCGCGUGUAGGCUGCUCCGAAAGUCGGAUGUGAAAGCCCUGGGCUCAACCUAGGAAGUGCAUUCGAUACUGUGGAGCUGGAGUCCUGGAGAGGAAGGCGGAAUUCUGGGUGUAGAGGUGAAAUUCGUAGAUAUCGAGAGGAACACCGGUGGCGAAGGCGGCCUUCUGGACAGUGACUGACGCUGAGACGCGAAAGCGUGGGGAGCAAACAGG